rnacentral:ncRNA from 1 species
UUUUUUAAGAGUUUGAUCCUGGCUCAGGAUGAACGUUGGUGGCGUGCCUGAGAUAUGCAAGUCGAACGUCGCUUGUCCUUCGGACAAGAAAUUCGAAUCUCGAAAUCCGAAAUCAUUAACAAAUUCAAAAUAUUAAUUACUAAGUUCAAAACAAAUAUCGUUUUGAAUUUUGAAAAUUUUAAUUUAGUUUUUGUUUCGAAUUUAGAGUUUAGUAUUUCGAGUUUCUCGACCGGAGGUCGAGCGUAGUGGCGGACGGCUGAGUAACACGUAGGGACUUACCCUAAAAUAGAGAAUAGCUCAUCGAAAGAUGGGGUAAUACUCUAUAAGGGGAAUACCGUCUGGUAUUCCUUAAAGCGCAUAACUGCGCGUUUUAGGAUGGACCUGCGGCCUAUCAGGUAGUUGGUGGGGUAAUGGCCUACCAAGCCUAUUACAGGUAGCUGGCCUGAGAGGGUGUCCAGCCAGAGGAGCACUGAGAUACGGGCUCCACUCCUACGGGAGGCAGCAAUCAGGAAUAGUCGGCAAUGGGCGAAAGCCUGACCGCGCGACGCCGCGUGCGGGAAGAAGCUCUUCGGAGUGUAAACCGCUGUUGUAGAGGAAGAAAUCCGAUUUAAUUUCGGAAUGACGGUACUCUAUCAGAAAGGGGCCGCUAACUGCGUGCCAGAAGCGUCGGUAAGACGUGGGCCCCAAACGUUAUCCGGUUUUAUUGGGCGUAAAGGGUCGUGUAGGCGUCCCGCCAAGUUUCGUUUUAAAGACUAUGGCUUAACCAUAGGAAAGGAUGAAAAACUGGCGGGAUUGAGUUUUCUUUAGGGAGACUGGAACUUAAGGAGAAGUAGUGAAAUGCGUUGAUACCUUAGGGAACACCAGUGGCGAAGGCGAGUCUCUGGAAGGAAACUGACGCUAAGAUACGAAAGCUAGGGUAGCGAAGCAGAUUAGAGACCUGCGUAGUCCUAGCCCUAAACGAAUGCCUGCUAGCUGCAUUUCUCGCCUUUGGCGAGGGGUGUGGCGAAGGUAACCCGUUAAGCAGGCCGCCUGGGGAGUACGGCCGCAAGGUUGAAACUCAAAGGAAUUGGC